rnacentral:rRNA from 1 species
AACGAACGCUGGCGGCAGGCUUACACAUGCAAGUCGAGCGGGCGCUUUCGGGCGUCAGCGGCGGACGGGUUAGUAACGCGUGGGAACGUGCCCUUUGCUCUGGAAUAGCCCUGGGAAACUGGGGGUAAUACCGGAUGUGCCCUGAGGGGGAAAGAUUUAUCGGCAAGGGAUCGGCCCGCGUCUGAUUAGGUAGUUGGUGGGGUAACGGCCCACCAAGCCGACGAUCGGUAGCUGGUUUGAGAGGAUGAUCAGCAACACUGGGACUGAGACACGGCCCAGACUCCUACGGGAGGCAGCAGUGGGGAGUCUUAGACAAUGGGCGCAAGCCUGAUCUAGCCAUGCCGCGUGGGUGAUGAAGGCCUUAGGGUCGUAAAGCCCUUUCGCCGGGGAAGAUAAUGACGGUACCCGGUAAAGAAACCCCGGCUAACUCCGUGCCAGCAGCCGCAGUAACAC